rnacentral:rRNA from 1 species
GAUCCUGCCAGUAGUUAUAUGCUUGUCUCAAAGAUUAAGCCAUGCAUGUAUCUGUUCACACCUUCAUAUGGUGAAACCGCGAAUGGCUCAUUAAAUCAGCUAUUAUUUCUUAGAUCUUACGAUUUACUUGGAUAACUGUAGUAAUUCUAGAGCUAAUACAUGCUAUCGAGCCUCAGCCGUGAGGUUGAGGUGGAUUUAUUAGAACAAAAUCAACUGGCCUAGCCAUUGAUUGUUGAAUCUGGAUAACUUUCCUGAUCGCAUGACCUUGAGUCGGCGACGUAUCUUUCAAGUGUCUGACCUAUCACCUUGAUGGUGGGGUAUCUGCCCACCAUGGGUGUUACGGGUAACGGGGAAUCAGGGUUCGAUUCCGGAGAGGGAGCCUUAGAAAUGGCUACCACAUCUAAGGAAGGCAGCAGGCGCGCAAAUUACCCACUCUCAGCUAGAGGAGGUAGUGACGAAAAAUAACAAUGCAAGACUCACUAUGAGGCCUUGCAAUUGGAAUGAGUACAAUUUAAAUCCUCUAACGAGGAGCAAUUGGAGGGCAAGUCUGGUGCCAGCAGCCGCGGUAAUUCCAGCUCCAAUAGCGUAUAUUAAAAUUGUUGCAGUUAAAAAGCUCGUAGUUGGAUCUCAGACGAGGUAGGUUGGUUCAGCUGUUUAGCUGUGACUAAUCUUGCCCGUCUUUUUCAGCCGGUUGAUGCUUCUUGGUGCUCUUUACUGAGUGCUUUGUUAGUGCACGGCACGUUUACUUUGAAAAAAUUAGAGUGCUCAAAGCAGGCGCAUAGCUUGAAUACUGUUGCAUGGAAUAAUAAAAUAGGACUUCGGUUCUAUUUUGUUGGUUUUCGGUUCCGAAGUAAUGAUAAAAAGAGACAGACGGGGGCAUUUGUAUGGUGGUGUUAGAGGUGAAAUUCUCGGAUCGCCGCCAGACAGACUACUGCGAAAGCAUUUGCCAAGUAUGUCUUCAUUAAUCAAGAACGAAAGUCAGAGGUUCGAAGACGAUCAGAUACCGUCCUAGUUCUGACCAUAAACUAUGCCAACCGACAAUCAGUGGUGGUUAUAAUUUUAUUGACCCCACUGGCUGUCCCCCGGGAAACCUUAAGUGAGGUUCUGGGGGGAGUACCUUCGCAAGAAGUAAACUUAAAGGAAUUGACGGAAGGGCACCACCAGGAGUGGAGCCUGCGGCUUAAUUUGACUCAACACGGGAAAACUCACCCGGCCCGGACACCAGAAGGAUGGACAGAUUGAUAGCUCUUUCUUGAUUUGGUGGAUGGUGGUGCAUGGCCGUUCUUAGUUGGUGGAGUGAUUUGUCUGGUUAAUUCCGAUAACGAACGAGACUCUGUCCUGCUAACUAGUACGCUAACAUAAGAUCUUCUGAUCUUCGUUGGCGCAGACUUCUUAGAGGGAUUCGCGGUUUUUAGCCGCACGAAAUAGAGCAAUAACAGGUCUGUGAUGCCCUUAGAUGUCCGGGGCCGCACGCGCGCUACAAUGACAGCAUCAGCAAGUAUUAAACCCUGAUCUGAGAAGAUUGGGAAACCUUCUGAAUUGCUGUCUCCACUGGGACUGGGCUUUGCAAUUAUCGCCCACGAACGAGGAAUUCCCAGUAAGCGCAAGUCAUCAGCUUGCGCUGAUUACGUCCCUGCCCUUUGUACACACCGCCCGUCGCUACUACCGAUUGAAUGUUUUAGUGAGGUGUUUGGACUGGACCCUAUGCGGCGUCCUCGUUGCAUUAGGUUUGGGAAGAACUUCAAACUUGAACAUUUAGAGGAAGUAAAAGUCGUAACAAGGUUUCCGUAGGUGAACCUGCAGAUGGAUCA